rnacentral:lncRNA from 1 species
GUCUUUUCGAGGUAGGAGUCGACUCCUGUGAGGUAUGGUGCUGGGUGCAGAUGCAGUGUGGCUCUGGAUAGCACCUUAUGGACAGUUGUGUCCCCAAGGAAGGAUGAGAAUAGCUACUGAAGUCCUAAAGAGCAAGCCUAACUCAAGCCAUUGGCACACAGGCAUUAGACAGAAAGCUGGAAGUUGAAAUGGUGGAGUCCAACUUGCCUGGACCAGCUUAAUGGUUCUGCUCCUGGUAACGUUUUUAUCCAUGGAUGACUUGCUUGGGUAAGGACAUGAAGACAGUUCCUGUCAUACCUUUUAAAGGUAUGGAGAGUCGGCUUGACUACACUGUGUGGAGCAAGUUUUAAAGAAGCAAAGGACUCAGAAUUCAUGAUUGAAGAAAUGCAGGCAGACCUGUUAUCCUAAACUAGGGUUUUUAAUGACCACAACAAGCAAGCAUGCAGCUUACUGCUUGAAAGGUGAGGAUUGGAAAUGUUGGGACUAUUAUAAUUGCAGAAUACAUGAUGAUCUCAAUCCAACUUGAACUCUCUCACUGAUUACUUGAUGACAAUAAAAUAUCUGAUAUUCUGCAUUCCCAUGUAGCAUUUUAAUUGAAGUCUGUAAAUGUGGCUAAAAGUCUUGUCUUAUUUUUUGAGACAGGGUCUUGCCUCACCCAAGCUAGAGUGCAGUGGCCUUUGAAGCUUACUACAGCCUCAAACUUCUGGGCUCAAGUGAUCCUCAGCCUCCCAGUGGUCUUUGUAGACUGCCUGAUGGAGUCUCAUGGCACAAGAAGAUUAAAACAGUGUCUCCAAUUUUAAUAAAUUUUUGCAAUCCA